UCAUUAUCACUCACUUAAUGGGAGGCUAUGAUUUAGUUAUCAAUAUAACUUAAUCAUUUUUAGGACCUAAUAAUUUUUGAGAAUUUUAUUAAAGAAUCGAAGAGAAGAAAAUAUCCAGCCAAUUUCAAUCCUCCCACUGACUUCACCAAGUCAAAUUAAAAAGGAUUUACUUAAAGCUGGCAUUAGGAGCAUCUAAAUUAGUCAAACUGAUUUACCUAAUGACAUGGGUGAGCCCUAAUCACCAAGUGAUCUAAUCAAACCCUAAUUCAUCAGGUUGGCCAGGUAAGUGAGAUCAGUGGUGGGGAUAAGCCAUUAACUCGUCAGAGAUCGAAUCACUGUGAGUAGCUCCCGCUUAAAAACCAUUGGUCAAACUGCCAAACUUACCUUAGACACCAACUGGUUCAUUAGUUUUAAUUUGAUCAACUUAGUAAAUAGGGUUUCACCGCGUAGCCAUGAAUUAAGUCCAUCUUGGUCUAGUUAAAGAUAUGGACCCAUUCAACUAUAACUAUUGGAGUUGAGUCUAGAGUAUCCUUGACCUAAUCUAAUUCAACUUUUGAUUAGAUUUGACCAAUUACUCUAAUUUAGUCCAUUUCUUUAAGCUAACCUUAGGUCUAAUCCAAUUAUGGACCUAAUCCAUCUAACCCAUUGACCCACAAGUUUAUGCAAUUGUCUUAGGUCUUAAUUCACAAUUCUAGACCUACUAGACAACACUUAAUUCUUUUAAUUAAGUAUUUGGGCUGAUAGG
rnacentral:lncRNA from 1 species